ensembl:lncRNA
GUAAUACUACACACAAACACACAUCACUGUACCUUGACACGUGUUCCUGUAGACAACCGGUCAUUCUCUCUGUACCAGAGUCAAGUUGGAGUGGUACCCUGACUACUGCAACAGCACUCUGGGGUUUGUUUGCUGCAAGCAGAUAUGAAGCCAGACGGACAAUGUGAAAAGCUGACCACAAGGUGGAGCUGUGUGCCAAAGUACCAACCACCCAACACAAAGGCUUCCUUUCUUCCUCAGCUUUUAGGGGUUGGCUUCAAAGUUAGGGUUAGGCUUUGAAUCUGGCCAGUCCACCUGCCUAGAACUCUCCAUGUGAACUCGCUGUGGCUUCUUUUUUCUAAUGAUCAUCUCUUUUUCUUUGCAUUGAAAAAGUACAAUCAAGCAUGCUGCAAGAAGUGUAAUUAUAAUAGCAGUAAAACUAGGCAAUAAAAAAAUACAGCA